CUUCACUGAUGAUACUCCACUUCAGGUCCGUGUUUCUGAUAUCCUGAUAAGGUUGGAAGUACUGAUGAG